rnacentral:rRNA from 1 species
UGCGAACUCCUACGGGAGGCAGCAGUGGGGAAUAUUGCACAAUGGGGGAAACCCUGAUGCAGCAACGCCGCGUGAAGGAAGACGGUUUUCGGAUUGUAAACUUCUGUUCUUAGUGAAGAAUAAUGACGGUAGCUAAGGAGCAAGCCACGGCUAACUACGUGCCAGCAGCCGCGGUAAUACGUAGGUGGCAAGCGUUGUCCGGAAUUACUGGGUGUAAAGGGAGCGCAGGCGGGAGACCAAGUCAGCUGUGAAAACUACGGGCUUAACCUGUAGACUGCAGUUGAAACUGGUUUUCUUGAGUGAAGUAGAGGUUGGCGGAAUUCCGAGUGUAGCGGUGAAAUGCGUAGAUAUUCGGAGGAACACCGGUGGCGAAGGCGGCCAACUGGGCUUUAACUGACGCUGAGGCUCGAAAGUGUGGGGAGCAAACAGGAUUAGAAACCCUAGUAGUCCAGAUG